rnacentral:rRNA from 1 species
AUGAUCGUAGGAUGCUCCGCAUCACUAAAGGUCCCUGGUUACAGCACACCGGUACAUUUUGGUGUCUUGAUUUCCUUUGCGUAUCCUCUUGAUGAAGGAGGAUUGGGUGAGAUUAUUGUUGCAACAACAAGAAUUGAAACUAUGCUGGGUGAUACAACAAUAGCUGUUCAUCCAGAGGAUAAAAGAUAUAAGCAUCUGCAUGGAAGAUAUGCAAUUCACCCCUUCAAUGGCAGAAAACUAAAAAUAAUCUGCGAUGCUGUGUUGGUAGAUCCCACUUUUGGCACUGGGGCUGUCAAGAUUACACCAGCCCAUGACCCAAAUGACUUUGAGGUUGGAAAGCGACAUAACCUAGAGUUCAUCAAUAUCUUCACAGACGAUGGGAAAAUAAACAGCAAUGGAGGCACACAAUUUGAAGGAAUGCCAAAAUUUACUGCUCGGGUUGCUGUCAUAGAAGCAUUGAAGUUAAUAGAAAGAGUACUCAUAGUACUAGUUUUUUUUUUUGCGGACAAUAGCUUGUACAAGGACACGAAAAAGAACGAAAUGAGUUUGGGCAUUUGUUCAAGAAGUAAUGAUGUAGUGAAACCCACGAUGAAACCUCAAUGGUUUGUUAAUUGCAAUACCAUGGCAAAGGCAGGUGUUGAUGCUGUAAGAUCCAAAAAAAUCGAGAUUAUUCCGCAGCAAUAUGAACAAGACUGGUACAGAUGGCUUGAAAAUAUACGUGAUUGGUGUGUCUCAAGGCAACUCUGGUGGGGCCAUCGUGUACCUGCAAAGUAUGUGACACUUGAAGAUGAUCAAGUGACCGAUCUGGGUUCCAACAAUGAACGUUGGAUAGUUGCAAGAAAUGAAAGUGAUGCGAACCUUGAGGCAAAGCAAAAGUAUCCGGGGAAGAAAUUCCAGUUAAAUCAAGAUCCUGAUGUGUUGGAUACGUGGUUUUCAUCUGGUCUAUUCCCAUUAACAGUACUUGGUUGGCCAGAUGAUACCGCUGAUCUUAGGGCUUUCUACCCUGGCUCAGUACUCGAAACUGGACUUGAUAUUCUCUUUUUCUGGGUAGCCCGUAUGGUUAUGAUGGGAAUGCAACUAGGUGGCGAUGUGCCGUUUGAAAAGGUUUAUUUGCAUCCUAUGAUCCGUGAUGCACAUGGUCGGAAAAUCUCCAAAUCGCUUGGGAAUGUCAUUGAUCCCCUUGACGUGAUAAAUGGUAUAACACUUGAAGAACUCCUCAAACGUUUGGAAGAAGGAAAUCUGGAUCCAAAUGAACUGGAAAUUGCAAGAGAAGGGAAGAAGAAAGAUUUUCCUGAUGGAAUUCCUGAAUGUGGCACUAAUGCCCUCCGCUUUGCACUGAUUUCUUACACUUCUCAGUCUGAUAAGAUAAAUCUGGAUAUCAAGAGAGUGGUGGGGUACAGACAAUGGUGCAAUAAAUUGUGGAAUGCCAUUCGUUUUGCAAUGGUCAAGCUUGGUGGACAGUACACUCCGCCGGCAACUGUUGUUGUGUCUCAGAUGCCACCAAUUUGUAAAUGGAUACUCUCAGUACUUAACAAGGCUAUUGGGAAGACUGUCAGCUCAUUAGAAGCAUAUAAAUUCACAGAUGCAACAUCUGCUAUAUACUCAUGGUGGCAGUACCAACUAUGUGAUGUAUUCAUAGAGGCCAUAAAACCGUACCUUUUCAAUGACUCUCAAGAGUUCGAAUCAGCCAGAGCUGCCUGUAGAGAUGCAUUAUGGAUUUGCCAGGACACCGGCUUGCGCCUGCUUCACCCAUUCAUGCCCUAUGUAAGAGAAGAGUUAUGGCAGUGGCUUCCUCAGCCUAAAUAUUCUUGCAGGAAAGGUUCCAUCAUGUUAUCAGAAUACCCAUCUGUUGUUAAGGAAUGGGCAUAUGAUAAUCUUGAAAAUGGAAUCGAUAUGGUCCUGGACACUCUGAACAAACUAAGAUCCCGGAGGCCACCAACGAAUACAAAUGAAAGGCGACCUACUUUUGCACUUUGUCGAAGCCAAGAGAUUGCUGCCAUUGUUCAAUGCUAUCAAUAUUUAGCCGUCACUCUUUCUUCUAUCUCGUCCCUUAAGCUCCUGGCAGAGAGUGAUCAAACUCCACCUGAUUGCGCAACUGCUGUCGCGAACAAACAUCUGAGCGUGUACCUCCAGCUUUAA